rnacentral:lncRNA from 1 species
UUGUCCUUGUCCUUGGAGAAUUUCUUCAACCCGGACAAGUGGAAUACGGGAUGGAACCUGCCUUUCUUUGGGAUAUCAAUCAGGUAUACAUCCUUAUGUAUAACCUUCAUCACCUUGUAAGGUCCUGCCCACUUCUAUACCCAUUUAUGUGACAAGGAAUUGAGGAUUGGCAAGUUCGUGGUGUUUAACCACACCAUGUCUCCUACUUUGUGCACAACCUCGCGCCGGUGUUUAUCCGCCGCAAGUUUGUAUUUCUUCUGAGCGCGCUCCAGAAAGUAAGUUGCUUUCUUUUGAAUGUGUUCUCGCUCGGAGACCCACUUGGCCACUUCCUCAGAAAAGAAGGUGGACGGGGAAUCCUCCUCCUUCUUGGCUAGCACUAGGUCAGUUGGUUUUAAUGCAUCAAACCCGUGAGCUACUUUAAACGGACUCAUGCCGAUGCUUGUUGAGUGGGUGGUGUUGUAGCAGAACUCCGCUUGUGGUAACACAUUCACCCAAUCAUCGUGAUCCGCCGCUAUGUAAUUUCUCAAGUACAUGUUGAGAGUAGCGUUCACGCGCUCGGUUUGACCAUCUCCUUGCGGAUGAAACGUGGUUGUUAGAAUGAGUUUGGUUCCCGACUUGCUCAUCAGGUGCUGCCAAAAGGCAGUCAGGAACUGUGCACCCCUAUCACUCACUAUGUCUUCUGGAUAGCCCAUUUUGCAUAUCCAAUGUUCAUAGAAGAGCCGCGCCGUUGCUUCGGCGCCAUCACCCCAUUUCGUCGGGAUGAAUCUAGCUUGCUUGCUAAACCUAUCGACAACCACGAAGAUGACGUCAUAUCCCUGCACCACUGGCAAAGAAGUCAUGAAAUCCAUUGAAAGACACCCGUAAGGUGCUUUCGGUAUAGGUAAAGGACUUAGCAAGCCCAUCGUCCUUUGAGUGUUUGCCUUGUUCGUUUGGCACUUGGCGCAUGUGGACACAUACUUCUCCACAUCUCCUUUGAGAUUCGGCCAAUAAUACUUUUUGGACAACUCCUUCGUUGUCACUAGCACUCCGCUGUGUCCGCUGUGUCCCGCUCCUCGCGCGUCAUGGAACUCCCUCAUCAUCCUCCUCAGCAGGCUUCCCUCGGGGAAGUGAAAACUCGGUGAGCUAAGUGACUAAAUUCGGCAACCAUAGAGCAAGUGGUAUUGUAAGAAAGGAAGAGGAUGAAUGAUCAGUGACGAAUCAGUCAGACUUGCCUUGAAUUCAAAGUUCAGUCAAUAGAGCAUUGAAUUUGAGCCGGCCCAGCGACUUUUGAAUUCCUCUCGCUUUUUCCUGCUGAUAGAAUUAAAGAGUUAUCGUUUCAAGCACUCGAUAUGGCAGCUCGUACCGUAUGCUGUUCGGCUGUAAUAGUUGGAACAAGCAUUGGAACAAGUGUUAAGCGUGAGGCGAUUGGGACGACUCUCGCCUCUAGAAACUUUGCGGGCUUGGAGAUGAUGCCAUCGCUGAGACAAUCGUCUUUCGGUAUGUAGGCGAUGCCGGUAGACACAUCGCCAUUGCCGGAUUUGGAAGUAAGCUCAUUCGAUCUGCAAUUGAGUAUGUAUGCCGUCAUACAUGUUUGGAAAUGUGAUUGCGCUUGCCUGAGCCAGUCACGUUCAUUUCAAAUUGUGGUGCCUGUAAUAUCUUACAUUAGCAUGGCGUGUCAUUCCAUGAUAUUGCACUUCCCCUGCGUCAUUACCCGGAGGUAUAUGGUUUUUGAACCCUUAAUUUUCACGCUAAGAACUUGUAACUUCAUUUUUUCUGAGUUGCAGGCAAUGGAUCGGAGAGGGCAAGAAUGUUUAGGAAGCCUACUGGGUAGCUAGUGAUUAGACUACGAGAUAACUAGCCUUCAACAAAGUUGGUGUCCAGGUCCAUGACGAGGUAAGUCCCUCAGAAUGCAACGUCUGUUUUUUUUUUGUGAGGUUUAUGGAAUGGUCCUGCAGGAACAGAUGUAGCAUCAAGGCUGUCGCCUGUAUUGCUUCAUGCAAAUCAUGAAUGAAUUGGAGUUUCUUCUAAUGAAGAAUAUGAAUGCUAUUUGUGAAAGUGACGAUACAAGAUGGAGUCAUUGUAGGAAGCCGUGAGUGUUCAAUUGACGUUGAAUGACCCCCGACUGUACUCCCAAAUGAUAUUGUUUGGUUUGGAGCAGAUUAGCUGCACGAGAUUCGCCACAAACAGGUGGACUGCUGACCUACAAAAUUUCAGAGUAGAGCUAAAAUUGCAACGGGUCUUUCAAGACUUCCCUCGAGAAAGAUGCACUACUCGAACUAGUGAAACCCUGCUUGGCAAUCUAUCUGUGACCUCCGAAUAACGACCUGUUCUACUAAAUAACAGAAAAACAAACUCUCACAUGAAAAGGAUUCAAAAAGGUCAGCCCGUGCUCCACAAUGCACCAGGCAAAUAUAGUGUUUCUCUCCUCCAAAGGUGCUUCAGUUGAGCCAGCUGCAGAUAGUUUGAUUUUGCAGUUAGUUUGUUUCAUCCUCAACUGAAAACUUGAAAAGGCCUUAGUGCUGUACAGAUUCAUAUCAAGGCGCCGAUUGUUCCUUAAAUCAUCGGUCUGUGGCUCAAUGUGAUGGACAAGGUCUUCGGAGAGGUCUUAAGACGUAUGAAGAGAUACUCUCAUACGUGUAGAAAAGAUCAAGGAGCACAUGUCGAAGAUAGAAGAUAGCUCCCGCACGGAUCAUCUGAAGUGGCGUAAAGAUACAGAGCAAGUGGGGGAGCAACUCCACGCCUUUGGUGA